rnacentral:misc_RNA from 1 species
GAUGAAGAACGCAGCGAAAUGCGAAAAGUAAUGUGAAUUGCAGAAUUCAGUGAACCAUCGAAUCUUUGAACGCACAUUGCGCCCGCUGGAACUCCGGCGGGCACGCCUGUCCGAGCGUCAUUUCAACCCUCAGGCCCCCCUUCGCGGGCGGGCCUGGUGUUGGGGCCCGGCCGCUACCCUGCGGCCGUCCCCUAAAUUCAGUGGCGGCCUCGCCGUGAUCCCUUGCGUAGUAAUGCACCUCGCACCGGAGAGCGCCGUGGCCACGCCGUAAAACCCCCAAUUUUCAAUGGUUGACCUCGGAUCAGGUAGGGAUACCCGCUGAACUUAAGCAUAUCAAUAAGCGGAGGA